rnacentral:rRNA from 1 species
UACGGAGGGGGCGAGCGUUAUUCGGAAUUAUUGGGCGUAAAGGGCGCGUAGGCGGCUUUCUAAGUCAAAGGUGAAAUCCCUCGGCUCAACUGAGGAACUGCCUUUGAAACUGGAAAGCUUGAGGCCGGGAGGGGGUAGCGGAAUUCCCAGUGUAGCGGUGAAAUGCGUAGAUAUUGGGAGGAACACCAGUGGCGAAGGCGGCUACCUGGACCGGUUCUGACGCUGAUGCGCGAAAGCGUGGGUAGCAAACAGGAUUAGAAACCCUAGUAGUCC